UGAGGAAUAUUGGUCAAUGGACGAGAGUCUGAACCAGCCAAGUAGCGUGAAGGAUGACUGCCCUAUGGGUUGUAAACUUCUUUUAUAUGGGAAUAAAGUAUUCCACGUGUGGGAUUUUGUAUGUACCAUAUGAAUAAGGAUCGGCUAACUCCGUGCCAGCAGCCGCGGUAAUACGGAGGAUCCGAGCGUUAUCCGAUGUGUUUAAUGGGUUGAAGGAGCGGUAGGUGAUUGUUAAGUCAGUUGUGAAAGUUUGCGGCUCAACCGUAAAAUUGCAGUUGAAACUGGCAGUCUUGAGUACAGUAGAGGUGGGCGGAAUUCGUGGUGUAGCGGUGAAAUGCUUAGAUACCACGAAGAACUCCGAUUGCGAAGGCAGCUCACUGGACUGCAACUGACACUGAGGCUCGAAAGUGUGGGUAUCAAACAGGAUUAGAUACC
rnacentral:rRNA from 1 species